UCACCCUUGCUUCACCGAAGAUGGCCUCAGGUCACUCGCUGUCAAACUUAAUAGAAUUGACCUGGACAGAGAUUGAGCCUCCCCGGUAGCUGCCCCGCUUCUUCUUGGUUUUCUCAUGCCGAAAGGACUUGCCUUUGGUGAACUUCAAAACCUGAUUGGCUCGCUCUCCCCAGUCUCCGGCUGCACCUCGCUUGGCAUCAAAGGAGUUGUCCGCAACUCGUGAAUCCACCUCAAUUUCCUCCUCCCUGACCCUUCGGAAUGGGGAUGAUGCCCUUUUUUCUCCUUUCUUCCUUUUUGGAAAUGUGUUAGGGGUCUGAAGCUUUAUCUUCUUGGCCUGAGGAGUCUCUGCCUCCUUGGCAGCCUCAUUCUGCUUCCGCUUCUUUAAUGAACCUGAUUUGGAAACUACCACUGCCGCCUUUUUCUUUUCUUCUUCCUCCUCCUCACUGUUCU
rnacentral:lncRNA from 1 species